rnacentral:rRNA from 1 species
AGGACGAACGCUGGCGGCGUGCCUAACACAUGCAAGUCGAGCGGGGAUACUGGAAGAGCUUGCUCGGAAAGUAUUCUAGCGGCGGACGGGUGAGUAACGCGUGAGCAACCUGCCUUCAACAGGGGGGAUAACGCAUCGAAAGAUGUGCUAAUACCGCGUAAGACCACGGGAUCACAUGGUUUUGAGGUCAAAGGAGCAAGUCCGGUUGAAGAUGGGCUCGCGUCCGAUUAGCUAGUUGGUGAGAUAACAGCCCACCAAGGCGACGAUCGGUAGCCGACCUGAGAGGGUGAUCGGCCACAUUGGAACUGAGAAACGGUCCAGACUCCUACGGGAGGCAGCAGUGGGGAAUAUUGGGCAAAAUGGGCGAAAGCCUGACCCAGCAACGCCGCGUGAGGGAAGAAGGGUUUCGGCUCGUAAACCUCUGUCCUAAAGGGCGAAUAAAGUGACGGUACUUUAGGAGGAAGCCCCGGCUAACUACGUGCCAGCAGCCGC